rnacentral:rRNA from 1 species
UACGUAGGGGGCUAGCGUUGUCCGGAAUUACUGGGCGUAAAGGGCGCGUAGGCGGUCCGAUAAGUCCCGCGUGAAAGCCCCCGGCUCAACUGGGGAACUGCGCGGGAAACUGACGGACUUGAGUUCGGGAGAGGGAAGCGGAAUUCCCGGUGUAGCGGUGAAAUGCGCAGAUAUCGGGAAGAACACCCGUGGCGAAGGCGGUUCUCUGGGACGGUACUGACGCUGAGACGCGAAAGCGUGGGAGCGAACAGG